AUUGAACGCUGGCGGCAGGCCUAACACAUGCAAGUCGAGCGGUAACAGAAAGUAGCUUGCUACUUUGCUGACGAGCGGCGGACGGGUGAGUAAUGCCUAGGGAUCUGCCCAGUCGAGGGGGAUAACCAUUGGAAACGAUGGCUAAUACCGCAUACGCCCUACGGGGGAAAGGAGGGGACCUUCGGGCCUUUCGCGAUUGGAUGAACCUAGGUGGGAUUAGCUAGUUGGUAAGGUAAUGGCUUACCAAGGCGACGAUCCCUAGCUGGUUUGAGAGGAUGAUCAGCCACACUGGAACUGAGACACGGUCCAG
rnacentral:rRNA from 1 species